rnacentral:rRNA from 1 species
UACGUAGGGGGCAAGCGUUGUCCGGAAUCAUUGGGCGUAAAGCGCGUGUAGGCGGCUUGGUAAGUCCGCUCUGAAAGCCCGGGGCUCAACCCCGGGAGGCGGGUGGAUACUGUCAAGCUCGAGUCCGGAAGAGGCGAGUGGAAUUCCCGGUGUAGCGGUGAAAUGCGCAGAUAUCGGGAGGAACACCAAUGGCGAAGGCAGCUCGCCUGGGACGGUACUGACGCUGAGACGCGAAA